AAUAAAAACUUUCAACAACGGAUCUCUUGGUUCCAGCAUCGAUGAAGAACGCAGCGAAAUGCGAUAAGUAAUGUGAAUUGCAGAAUUCAGUGAAUCAUCGAAUCUUUGAACGCACAUUGCGCCCCUCGGCAUUCCGGGGGGCAUGCCUGUUCGAGCGUCAUUGCACCCCUCAAGCGCAGCUUGGUAUUGGGACCUCGCCCCCGUGGCGUGCCCGAAAAACAGUGGCGGUCCGGCGUGACUUUAAGCGUAGUAAAAUCUUCCCGCUCUGAAGCUCCCGUCGCGGCCGGCCAGAGAAUUCAUUGCUUCUAUAAU
rnacentral:rRNA from 1 species